GUGCUUGCUACGGCAGCACGUAUGAAAAAUUGGAUUCGAUACAGAGAAGAUUAGCAUGGCCCCUGCGAAAGGAUGACACGCAAAAUCGUGAAGCGUUUCCACAUUUU